AAGUCGUAACAAGGUUUCCGUAGGUGAACCUGCGGAAGGAUCAUUACCAAGUUUAAUCCAAAACACUCAACCCAUGUGAACGAUGAAAUUGUCUGUCUUUGGGGUGAAAGAGAUUCAAGAACUUCUUGAUUGAUUUCACCCCACAUGUGUUAACAUCCAUUUAUUUUGUAUUGGCAUCUACUUGUCUUAAUAAAAUAUUAGACAACUUUUAACGGUGGAUCUCUUGGCUCGUG
rnacentral:misc_RNA from 1 species